rnacentral:lncRNA from 1 species
AGUCCUUCGCCGUCCCUCGCCGUCCUUCGCCAUCGCACGCCACCGCACCCCAUCUCUCGAAAUCUGCAGACAUCUUGAUUUUUCCCACGCUGUCUGUCAGGUCUCCGCCGCCACUCGACGCCAGGGCGCCGGGCCUUGUGGGCUGUGCUGCACCUCGGACGGCUUCGCACCAGCCAGCGCCCUCUCUCUCCUGCAGCACUCUGAUCUGCACCCCCUGAGGGGCUUCCACUGUCCGCGGGGUGAGAAUGCCCCUGGGAGUGUCACAUGACUGCCGCCCCAUGUGUGUGAGAGGCGUCCUCUGGGAGAGCAUGGAUCCUGAGGUCCCAGGAACAUCCCGAGAGCCAAGUUCCCAGAUGCCAGCCAAGGGCCAUCUGACCUGUUUUGAAUCUCAAUUUCCUGAUACAGAAAACAAAGGAUUGUCAGCUGACCUCUGUCCUGUGUGCCCAGUGGCCCCAGGUGACGUGUCUUCAAGAAGAGGCUGAGCUGCGGUGCUUGUAAGGCAGGGUCUCAUUCUGUCACCCAGGCUGGAGUGCAGUGGUGCAAUGAUGGCUCACUGCAGCCUCGACCUGGGCUCAAGUGAUCCUCCACCUCAGCUUCCUGAGUAGCUGGGACCACAGAGUCAUGUGCUGUUCCUGGGGCUUGGAUGAUGUAGGGGAAGCAAGGUGAAAGUGGUAUCCCGUGGUUCCACGUUCUGUCCUGCUGUGGGGCUGUCCCUCACAUGCUUUCAGUGGCUGUUGCAGAGGAAGAGCCUCCGGAAAUCUGCGUCUCAGCCUUAGAUCCAAGGACAGUCCAAGGAAGUCCUAAGACCAUGGAGUUGGUGAUCUGGGAUCUGGGUUUGCUGAUAUUUCUCACCGUGAAUCUCUUGGUGGUGUUUGUGGGCACGAGAGGGGCAGAGAAUGGAGAGUGAGGCUACCACAUGAAGCGUCACCAGAGCUGCUCCCUGCUGCCUGCUCAGAGCACCCCGGAUCCACUGUUCAAUCUGCACAAGAUUCGGGGUCCAGACAUGGGAGACUUCAGCUGCCUCAGAGGACCGUGGACAGGGAAGGCCAGCCUCGCAUCCCUCUGUCCAUGCCUGGAAUGACUUUAAUAACCAAGAGUUUUAUUUUUGAAUUUGUAGCUGUCGUUCACUUUUUACCCACCCAUUCAAUAAACCUUACAGAAUUGCUCCA